rnacentral:lncRNA from 7 species
GCACUUUAUACAGACCUGCCAGUACAAUGCUGUUUGGGCUUCAGCAUCUUGUCUUCCUGUGUUUCUCAGUGACUUGUUUCCUUCCCUGCUUGUGCCGUGUGAGGGCAGCAGAGAUUGUGCUUGGCUAUGUGCUGGCAGCCCGAGUACAGCCGCCUCUUUCACGUUCCCACACUGAACAUCAGCAGGUGAACGGCAAAACGAGAGAGCACAGCACUGAGAUUUCAGCUGCACCUGACCCCGGAAUUUCACUCUGUUGGACGUGGUGGAACUCAGCAAUUAUUUUACAAGGAAGGAAACGUUGCCAUGCAGCAUCUCACCAGGCCAAACCGCAGCUGGAGCUCUUCCCUUGCACAUCAGAGCGGCUGCCGGGAGGUGGAGCACCGCACCCGCUGCACAUCGCCACCGAGCACCAACCGAGAGCUUCCAGAUCGUCCCCCGCUCCAGCCAGGCUGACCCUAAGCCUCCAUCCACACAAGGUCAGCUGCUUGCUGCCAGCAAAUUAAGCAGAAGGCGUUGCUGCUGAUGUUGCUCAUUACUACGAUUGGUGCAGGUGGGCUCUCUGUUUGCUGGCUGCAGACGUGGGCUGCGCUGCUCUAGCCAAAAGAUGCCUACAGCUUGUUGGAGAAGUGCAGAAGCUCUAGGGGCAAAGCACCCGGGCAUAAAGCCCGUACGUCUGGUGGCAGCACCAGCAAAGAUGGGCGGAUGUUUUAAACUGGUCGACGUCAAGCACUGUGAUUUGGUUUCCUUUGGAUCAUUCUGCCUUGAAAUGACUCUGAUCCAGGUGUUGUUUGCUUAUGGGAACACUGAAAAGUUGCACAUGUACAAGUUUUUCACUUGAAAAACAACAACAAAAAAAGCAACCUAGGAAAAUUCCCAUAAAGGUCUAAGCAAGCAGGCUGUGGCACUGCAAGCAAAACCCUGUGAUUUUAUGUCUUUCCACACCUGUGGUCCAUUUAAGCUAUAAAUCCCAUCUGUUGUGAGCAAGGUUUGCUAUCGAGCAUCCUGAUGAGAGAAGUGAGAUUUGACUGUAAGAACAACAUACAAUGAUUUUUAAUAUUUGGUGUAAUAAAGCCUUCUCCUGC